AAGAUACAUGAAGAGAGGACUGACGUCCCGCCAACCUGCUAGAUCCGGCAAGGUGGUUUCCUUUUUUAAAAAGGCAUGUGACCUUCGGGUAACAAUGGGGUCCAUG
rnacentral:ncRNA from 10 species